rnacentral:misc_RNA from 1 species
ACUUCCGGAACACCGUGGACGGUGUCUGAUUAAAAACAUGACGAUGAACGAAUGUAUUGAUUGUCGCUGUCAUGGCUAAUUGCAGACUUAAUGUCCGAAUUCAGAUGAAUAUGACAGUGCAGUGUUAAAAUGAUGAAAGGUUUCACCGUUGUGAUGCUUGUUCUGGGCACGUUGUUCGUGCCAGUUACAGAACAAGCUGCACCGCAUCCUCAACCCAAAUCAGAGGCUGUACCCAACAUUACACCGGACCCUAAAGUGAAUGGAAGUUUUAUUGAUGUAAAUGGCACAAAUGGUACAGAACUCAUCAACUCAACAACUACUUUUACAACAACGAUAGCCACUACAACCAAGCGUAUAGCAGUGGACCUGCCCAAGAAAGGAGCGGCGGAGGAAGAACAUCACAGCAGCUUCACCAUCUUCUUCAUCCUCCUCGUUGUUGCUCUGGCAAUAUUGACCACACAUAUGCUUAUUCAAACCAGAUUUCACUAUUUACCUGAAAGCAUUGCAGACAUUUUAUUAGGUGCAUUUGCAGGAUUGUUGUUGAAAAUUUUUAAUUCAGGAGAUCCUCAGGUAAUUAUGCUGUAAACGCAAACAAAAUGACUGACACUAAUUUUUUUAAUGGACGGGCUUGAAAAUCAUUCUUUUUUAUGAUUUACACUUCCAUAUAAAGAUUGCUGAUACAAUCAUGUAAGUUAAAGGAUUUUGUACAAACACACAUGUAUUGUGAAACAAUAUCUUUUUUGCAGAAUCGUGAAGCUUUCAGUCCCACAGUGUUCUUUAUAGUUUUACUGCCUCCCAUUAUCUUUGAAUCAGGAUACAAUCUGCACAAGGGUAACUUUUUCCACAACCUUGGCUCUAUAUUGGUGUUUGCCAUUCUUGGAACUGUGGUGUCAGCUCUAGUGGUGGGAGGGGGCAUAUACCUUCUAGGACAGGCAGAUGUAGUGUACAAGUUGAGCUGGAUUGAAUCCUUGGCCUUUGGCUCGCUGAUAUCAGCCGUGGACCCUGUGGCUACUCUAGCCAUUUUCCAUGCCUUAGAUGUGGAUCCUAUUCUCUACAUGUUGGUGUUUGGGGAGAGUGUGUUGAAUGAUGCAGUGUCCAUUGUACUUACUACUACUGUGUUAGAGUAUGCGGACCCUUCUGUACAGAUCACUAGUAAAACUCAGGCAGUGUUCUCAGCAGUAGGCCGAUUUCUGGGCAUGUUCUUUGGCUCAGCAGCCAUUGGAGUCGUGUGUGGGUUAAUCAGUGCAUUACUUUUAAAAUAUGUAGAUUUAAGGAAAACUCCCUCACUGGAGUUUGGACUUAUGUUGACAUUUUCAUAUUUGCCAUAUGCUUUAGCAGAAGGAAUCCAUUUAUCAGGUAUUAUGGCCAUAUUGUUUUGUGGCAUCGUGAUGUCUCAUUAUACUCACCCCAAUCUGUCCCCGGUGACACAGAUUACUACUCAGCAGACAUUCAGGACUAUAGCCUUUAUAGCAGAAACCUGCGUGUUUGCCUAUCUAGGCUUAGCCCUUUUCAGCUUUAGAUUGAUGGUUAAACCUGCUUUUGUGAUAUGGAGCAUUGCUUUGGUACUAAUUGGAAGAGCUUUCAACAUAUUUCCUCUUUCAUUUAUCAUGAACUACUUCAGAGAACACAGAAUCUCAAGGAAGAAUCAAUUUAUCAUGUGGUUUAGUGGUUUACGUGGUGCUAUUGCCUUCUCCCUGAGUCUUCACCUUGAGUUUGAGCAGGAGAAGAGAUAUGUUCUAGUUACAGCAACUCUGAUCAUUGUACUGUUCACAGUUAUCUUCCUUGGAGGCAUGACACUGCCAAUCAUGAAG